rnacentral:lncRNA from 1 species
GGACCAUCUAUGCUUCACAAAUUAAGGUUUUAUGGCACAAAUUGUUAAUGAACUAAUUUUUCAAAUAUGAUUUUCCAAAAAGAAGUAUCAUGGCCUUAUUUCAAAAUCAUUAAAUGCAUGGUUAAAAGUGGAGCGUAGAUUUAAGAUUGGAAAUUGUGGUGAUCAGGGGUCCUCCAAAAAGGUGAGUUCUCUUAAAUGUUUUGUCAAGAGACAGAGUAGCACAUAACAUAAAAUGCAGUAAAACUUAAGAAGCAACGCAAGACUAUCCCCCAGUCAAAUGCCAAGAAUUUGCCAAUACUCGCCCACACCCUCUUAGAAACAACCCUUUCACCUUCUAACCUUGCAAACAAGAAGCAAAAAUAUUUGACCAAGUUCGAAAGUAGUAUUUAACUAUUGCGAACAUCAAAAAAGAUUUCCUUUAAAAAUCUUAAAGAGUAUUGGAAAAGGAGUUGUAGCACUUGAAACUAGAGACCUACAAGUUAUGUUGAAGGCAGAGACUGAGAGGAUUGAUCUUCAUCAUAAACCAUAUGUAAAAAUCAGGAAUUAUUCAGAUGAAAAAAUUAUAAAAAUGCACAGAUACAAAUGUGAGUGCCAGAUAUCUAUACUUGCAUUUUAUAAACGAUGAAACAAAGUGAAACGGAUACAAUAGAGACAUGAUCUACGCACAGAAUUAAACUUUAAAGACUGCAUUUUAUAAGUAACAUGUGUAGAUCAACAAUCAUGUGUUGCAGGCUUUGUUUCUAAUCAUUAUUUUCUAAGAAAAUCAGAAAUAAACUUUGAUUUCAUGUCAAACUCAUAAGCAUUAGUGGCACCUACUAAAACUUCAAGGAACUAAAUUAUAAAAAUAUAGUAUGUAAAUCUAGGUGUUCCUUUAAGUACGAGCUACUUAGACAUGCAAAUGCAUUUCAUUGACAUUAGACUAUACUAGAAAAAUGUUGCAACUAAAUCUUUAAAGAUUAUGCCUCCCAUAACCAGUAGCAUAAUGAAUAUAGAAAAAGAAUAAAACAUAUAUUACAUUAUGUACUUUAAGUAUA